AUAAUCCUCCAUUUACCGCCUGAAUGAAGGGCACCAAGACCCUGGUAACUGUGCUUGGAGUAUGUUUGAAGUAACCUUCCUAUGGAAAUGGAUGUGGGCCAUCAAUGGAAGAAAGUUGCUUUCUGGUAACUACAGCCUGCACAUAAAUUGAAUGCACAUGUGUAAAUGUUUUGAAGAACUCCAGUAAAUAAGUAACAUUUUAUACCAAGUAUGGAUGCUGUCAAUGAAUUUGAGUACCAUGAAUGUUUGUCUGAAUGGCUGUUCUCUCAGCAGAAGAAAUCUCAGAUUUCUUUAGUCUCCCCAGAAAGAGACCUGGUCUGAUGAGGCAAUGUGAUUCAGGAGUUGAAAGUUCUACUAGUGCCUGAGUCCCAGGGCCAACUUUAUUUGAGGUAAAAUGACAAUUAAAAAGGAACUGUGAUACGUUUCAUUGUUCCAGGCUUUUUUGAAGUCAGUUUCUUCUUGUUUUCACACAACGACAGAGUGUUAAACAUCACACCCUAUGCUCACCUUUGUCCAAAACCUGCGCGAGUGAAAUUUUAGUGCUACUGAAAUCAAAGGCAAAACUCCUGCUGAUGUUGUUGGGACAGAGCCUGAGGAGUCCUAACCAAGUUGCAAAGAGCCACAGGAAUGUUCCCUUUUCUGAAGCAUCUCACAGAAAUUAUGAAUCAUGGUGGAAAGAGAACAGAUAGGGAAAUCUAUCCAAAAGUGACUCAGAAGUGAAUGCCUCUGUAAGCAGAGGAAUCUCAGAAAGCUUGCAAGGCAAGAGGUCAGCUGCGUACCUUGGAAAAACAUGAGCUCAGAGGUAUUAAGCCUUGUUUAUGACUCUUCAUAACCUACUUACAUCAGCUUCAGCUGAGCUGGCAACAGUUAGGUGAGCGUAAGUGGACAACCUGAGGUUCUCACUGAUUUUGCAGUAACCCAUUUAGAAGAGACAGAACUGUGGCAUGACUCUGAUGUUUCUGCUGAUAGUACACAUGGCUCAGAAUAUCUGCCUAAAUGCUGUGAGCAAGAGUGUGCUCCUCUAACUUAAGAUACGUGUGUGAGCUAGUUUUGCAGUCUCCCUUAUGGCCAUUGGAGAGAAAAAUGUGGCAGUAGUGUCCAGCUCAUGAUCUGGUGCGUGUCCUCAGAUGAGAUAACUGUACAUUGAUGUGCAUGCUUCUGCUUAUUGACUGUAGAAGAGCUCUAGGCAGCUACCUUGGAUGCAAAUGUUUGCUCAGUCGAGCAAUCCUUUUCAGUAAUCCUGGCAAGUAUUAAUGCAAACUUGCUGUAUCCUUUAGACUGAC
rnacentral:lncRNA from 1 species